rnacentral:rRNA from 1 species
UGCAGUCGUACGAGAGUUUUUAACUCUAGUGGCGGACGGGUGAGUAACACGUAAGAAUUUACCUUUAGGAGGGGGACAACAACUGGAAACGGUUGCUAAUACCCCAUAUGCUUUCGAGUGAAAUGGAUUUCCGCCUAAAGAGAAGCUUGCGGCUGAUUAGCUUGUUGGUGAGGUAAUGGCUCACCAAGGCGACGAUCAGUAUCUGGUUUGAGAGGAUGAUCAGACACACUGGAACUGAGACACGGUCCAGACUCCUACGGGAGGCAGCAGUGGGGAAUUUUCCGCAAUGGGCGAAAGCCUGACGGAGCAAUACCGCGUGAGGGAUGACGGCCUAUGGGUUGUAAACCUCUUUUUUCAGGGAGGAAUCAAUGACGUGUACCUGAAGAAUAAGCAUCGGCUAACUCCGUGCCAGCAGCCGCGGUAAGACGGAGGAUGCAAGUGUUAUCCGGAAUCACUGGGCGUAAAGCGUCUGUAGGUGGUCAAAUAAGUCAACUGUUAAAUCUUGAGGCUCAACCUCAAAAUCGCAGUCGAAACUAUUAGACUAGAGUAUAGUAGCGGUAAAGGGAAUUUCCAGUGGAGCGGUGAAAUGCGUAGAGAUUGGAAGGAACACCGAUGGCGAAGGCACUUUACUGGGCUAUUACUAACACUCAGAGACGAAAGCUAGGGUAGCAAACGGGAUUAGAUACCCCGGUAGUCCUAGCCGUAAACAAUGGAUACUAGAUGUUGAACAGAUCGACCUGUGCAGUAUCAAAGCUAACGCGUUAAGUAUCCCGCCUGGGAAGUA